rnacentral:rRNA from 1 species
GAUGAACGCUGGCGGCGUGCCUAAUACAUGCAAGUCGAGCGAACGGACGAGAAUCUUGCUUCUCUGAUGUUAGCGGCGGACGGGUGAGUAACACGUGGAUAACCUACCUAUAAGACUGGGAUAACUUCGGGAAACCGGAGCUAAUACCGGAUAAUAUUUUGAACCGCAUGGUUCAAAAGUAAAAUACGGUCUUGCUGUCACUUAUAGAUGGAUCCGCGCUGCAUUAGCUAGUUGGUAAGGUAACGGCUUACCAAGGCAACGAUGCAUAGCCGACCUGAGAGGGUGAUCGGCCACACUGGAACUGAGACACGGUCCAGACUCCUACGGGAGGCAGCAGUAGGGAAUCUUCCGCAAUGGGCGAAAGCCUGACGGAGCAACGCCGCGUGAGUGAUGAAGGUCUUCGGAUCGUAAAACUCUGUUAUUAGGGAAGAACAUAUGUGUAAGUAACUGUGCACAUCUUGACGGUACCUAAUCAGAAAGCCACGGCUAACUACGUG